AAAAAAGAGAAAAAUAUUUCUAAAAUAAGAGAAUCCUUCGUUUUCUCUCUUCCUGAUUCUUUUCCUUCUUCCUCUUCAGCUUCGUUUUCUCUCUCCUCUGUCGUCGCCGUCGCUUCUUCACCGCCGGAGAUCGAUCUCCUCCACCGCCGGUGAUCUCUACCCUCUUCCAUAUCAGACUAAUUCAGGUUUAAGUACUCUGUUAAUUUCUAUACAAUUUUAUCCUGGUAAAGUUAAUCCUCCUGAAAUUGCAUCUAUUGGAGGUGUUAGAGUAUUUUUAUGUUUUGGUGUGUUCAUCUCUUUUGGAUUAUGUCUAAGGUUUAUUUUGAUCAUAUGAAUUAGCUGUUUGGAAGUUACUUUUUCCAUAUUUGGAUUUCAAGAUUUUAUAUUGUUGAAUGCCGCCAAUCUGCAAUUAGUUUAUUGUUUGGAGUGAUUGCAUAUAGAAGUAAUAGAACCAACCAAAUUGAAUGGCCAGUAUUUGUUUUUGGCCGAUUACUGUUAUAGUUAUGAAUUAUCUGAAAUUCUCAAAUCUAAACAUGGGUAUUGUUCUUUAAAGGAUUUGUUUAUAUUUUGUGCGACUAUAUCAACGUUGUUGCUGUGUGGAUCGCCAUGUUGUUCCUUUAGUACAACAAUAUUACAAUAGUAUUAUCUUAGAUAUUUUAGCCUUCUAAGCUUCCUAUAUUCAAAAGCAUUUCGGCACAAUUGGCUUUGGAGAGUUUAACCUGCUUAACCGAGCAUCUUUUUCUUAGUGUUUAAUCCAUAAGCCUAUUUCUUAAUUUCCCUUCGCCUCUGUGGUUUAUUCUUUGGUUCGUCAGGUUCUUCUUUCUUUCUUGUGCUUAUUUAUCUUCUUUUAUGUGACCCUCUUUUUAUAAGCAACACUUAUCAUAUUUUGACAUUUCUACUUAUAUGUUAAAAAAAUUAAGUUUCAUUUUUAGAAUUGGUAUCCUCGAAGUCAAAUUGUUUUACUGUUCCCAGAACGAUAGUCAGUCUAGUGCUUUACUUGGAGCCAUCGUCCUUCCCUCUCUGAAAAAAGAAGGGAACCUUUUUUUUAAAGAUGGAGUUGACUCAUGUUACAAAGGAGCGAGUGAUGCUGAUAGGUUAAAAUCAGGAUCCCUGUCAAAUCAUUGGUUCCGUUUUAUUGUUCUACCAUCUAUAAUAGUUGCAAUCUCUUAGCUUAUGCGCAUUACAAGUUAGCUGUAAAAUUCAACUAACCAAAUCAAUCUUUGUAUUUAGAACCUUGUAGUUGUAGCUCAUUUGUAAUGAUCAGUGUGGACAAAUCUCUGAAAAAAACUUCUCCUGAUGUAAAGGGCAGGCGAUACCGGCAGGUCUUACUUAGUUACGUUGAGUAGAAUAAUAGAUAUUGGUUCUGUUCUAUACGGAACAUAUAUUUUGUUCCCUUCCCUUCCCUUAACAAGAGAAGUGAUGUGGUAAUACAGACAGCAGGAGAUUAUUUUGACUUGGUAAAAGCUUGUAACAUCAGACUAUCAGAGCAGAGAUGAGGGAGUUUAUCUAGGUCUAUAUUAGUACAUAAAGUGCAAUUAAGACAAGAUCAUGUUCUGUUCUGGUACUUGGAUGUUAUAACCUUUGGGGGGUUUUGAGGUUUUAGAUGACCCACAAAGGUCAGAAAGAGUCAAAGCUCUGUAAACGAGAUUCAAGGGUGAAUUAAAGUGCUUUGAGGCUAGUCAUGGAUAAUUUUCUAAUUAGUCCUUAAUCUUAUGUUAGUCUUGUACCUUUAUAAUUGGUGCUAUUUCUUACGAAGUAACAAAUAAGGUCUCUAAAAUUGUGUCAAGUUUCAUUAAAAUAUAUUUAAGCUUUGUGUUAGGAGCUAAGGUAAUCUUAACAUCCACUCUUUUAUGGAUUACACUUAAAUUUCCAUUAAAGUAACCAAGGUAUUCUGUUUUAACCAAAGAGCUAGGAAUCAAGCUGUGGUUUUCGAACCUGUAAACUUCCCAGUAGCUUUGUACUAUUGUUGUUGUUGUUUCAUUUUAAGUACUGCUUCACAUUGAAUGUUGUCUUGCAAUAUCUAGUUUGAUGUGUUUAUACUUUAUAGUGCAAUAGCUAGUUUGGAGUUUGUUAUUGCAACAGGCUAGUGCUCAGUGGCUAUUGUUAAGCUUCAGAAGGUCCUUAGGGAUUGGACAACAAGUGACAUUGGAACAACAGGCCAGUGCCAGUGCUCAGUGGCCAUUGUUAAGCUUCCCGUCCAGUUUUUUUUUUGGCAGAAUGUUCUCAUCUAGUAUGAAGAACGGGAUUGGACAACAAGUGACAUUGGAACAACUUUCUGAAGGUCUCGGUGAGCAGUCAGCCUACUUUUCUCUUUUCGUUUGUGCGUACUCAGUAUCCCAAGGUUGAGAUAACUGACGGUCUGUUCAAGCCAGUGCCUGGAACUAAUCAAGAUGAUGGCAUGAUAAGGUAUUCAAUAAUCCGAGGGAGCGGCCUUUCACCUUUGAGGAGAUAGAUGAAGUUCGAGAAAUGUUGGCAAAAUUCAUUACUAGUGAUUGUCUUUGAUAUUUUCUUGUACUGAAUCUUAAAUUAUGGAUGCUAGCUAGUUUUUCAUACGAUUGUAAUGUAAUUGACUUUUAUAUUUACAAUUAUAUACUAUUUAAUUUAAUUAUCUAUAUAAUUGGAUACUUUUUAUA